rnacentral:lncRNA from 1 species
CUAGGGGCUAAAAGAGCUAUUGAUAGGAUUCAUUCACAGAAAGAAGCAGGAAUAGACGCAAGGGCUGGAGCUGGGAGGGGGGGGGGAGGGGGAAUCCCUCCAGCGGCCCAGCCCCGCCUCCCGAGAUGUGGCAGGACUCCUCCCUGCCCUACACUUUCUACCACCUGCCUUCCGCCUUGCAGGGAGGCUACCACCGGCUCCGGGAAGCCCCUCCCGCAGACCUGCCGCUCCCCUGCCUCAGAAGGAGCUGCUCGACCGACAGAUACCAAGGUCGUCUUUGCGCCGGCGUGCGACCCAUUUAAUACGUUCUUUCUUCGAUGGAAGGCUGCUACGAGAUCCAUCGCGGGAAGCCCAUACCCCCACGUGGCGUAUCUCCUGAACCGCGCUUCUUUUUACCUUCUGCCCCGGGUGGCGUCUGAACCUGACGGUCCGUGGGCUAUUAUUCCGUAUAGGAUGCCGGGACGGCUGGGUAGCCAUCCAGAAAAAGUAACGUCAGACUUAUACUCCCAAUUCCUGCACUAGGACGGAUACGAAGAAGUGUGAUCUGUGCUCGAGGUGGAAAUGCAAAAUGAUGAACAAUUGAAAGGACAACGGGCAAAGAAUAGAGACACUCAGUAACUUGACCAAACUCACAAGAAGCCGGUGCGUGAACCGGAAUGAGAAACCAUUAAUCUGCAAUGGGAAAUACUCCUUUGCGAUGACAGAACACGCAUGUCUGCCAUCCCAGGCACCUCGCUGCACAGAUCAAGAUGCCCGUGACGUUCCGUGAGGGAGCCCGGUGGGGCGCCUGGCUGGCUCCGUCAGAAGAGCAUGGGACUCUCGAUGAUCUCAGGGUCGUGAGUUCAGACCCCAUGUUGGGCAUGGAGCCUACUUUAAAUAAAUAAAUAAAUAAAUAAAUAAAUAAAUAAAUA